rnacentral:rRNA from 1 species
AUAACAGUUAGAAAUGACUGCUAAUGCCGCAUAAGCGCACAGGGCCGCAUGGCCCGGUGUGAAAAACUCCGGUGGUAUGAGAUGGACCCGCGUCUGAUUAGCUAGUUGGCAGGGUAACGGCCUACCAAGGCGACGAUCAGUAGCCGGCCUGAGAGGGUGAACGGCCACAUUGGGACUGAGACACGGCCCAAACUCCUACGGGAGGCAGCAGUGGGGAAUAUUGCACAAUGGGGGAAACCCUGAUGCAGCGACGCCGCGUGAGUGAAGAAGUAUUUCGGUAUGUAAAGCUCUAUCAGCAGGGAAGAAAAUGACGGUACCUGACUAAGAAGCCCCGGCUAACUACGUGCCAGCAGCCGCGGUAAUACGUAGGGGGCAAGCGUUAUCCGGAUUUACUGGGUGUAAAGGGAGCGUAGACGGCUUUGCAAGUCUGACGUGAAACUCCGGGGCUCAACUCCGGAACUGCGUUGGAAACUGUAAGGCUUGAGUGCCGGAGAGGUAAGCGGAAUUCCUAGUGUAGCGGUGAAAUGCGUAGAUAUUAGGAGGAACACCAGUGGCGAAGGCGGCUUACUGGACGGCAACUGACGUUGAGGCUCGAAAGCGUGGGGAGCAAACAGGAUUAGAUACCCUGGUAGUCCACGCGGUAAAC